GUGGGUUCUCUCUCUAGUCUUCUUACUCCCUGCUUUAGGUGUGCCAAUCCUGUGCAAGGACAAGACUUAUACAGAGACUGUUGUGCUGACCUAGUGAACCUUGGUGCCAGCCAGAAACAGAUGGAGAUGAUUGCCUAAGCUUUAAAGCUACCACACAUAGAGUUCUGCAUGCCUGCCUAGAGAUUCUGUGAAGCAUAAGAAAUGAAUCAAGAACGAAGUUUCACAGUGGUCCGUCUUCCAAUAUCAUUUCAAGUGCUCUUCAAAGAUAAGGAAUGGAAGAUGGAAGCAAAAAAGUUACAAUAGACUGAAAAUGUGAAUGUACCAGCCUUGCAUGUGAACGCGGAAAAAGAUUUGUAGCCUUUAACAACUUGAAUAAGGCAUUCAAAAAGAAAGGCAUACAGGUGGGAGAUAGUAAAGUUGUACACUUCCAUCUAGCAAGACAGAACCAUGUGUACUACCAGGACAGAUGCACACCCCUGCAAUGCUCAACUCCGGUAACUGGAACAAGGAGUUCCAGGAAGAGAACUGAAGAAGUUGGUUAGCAAUUGUACAAAGGACAGCCAUAUGGUUAAUAUUUUCAUUACUUGAUUACCAUUUUAAUACAAC
rnacentral:lncRNA from 1 species